rnacentral:rRNA from 1 species
UACGGGGGGGGCAAGCGUUGUUCGGAAUUACUGGGCGUAAAGGGCUCGUAGGCGGCCAACUAAGUCAUACGUGAAAUCCCUCGGCUUAACCGGGGAACUGCGUCUGAUACUGGAUGGCUUGAGUUCGGGAGAGGGAUGCGGAAUUCCAGGUGUAGCGGUGAAAUGCGUAGAUAUCUGGAGGAACACCGGUGGCGAAGGCGGCAUCCUGGACCGAUACUGACGCUGAGGAGCGAAAGCCAGGGGAGCAAAAGGG